UGGGGAAUAUUGCACAAUGGGCGCAAGCCUGAUGCAGCCAUGCCGCGUGUAUGAAGAAGGCCUUCGGGUUGUAAAGUACUUUCAGCGGGGAGGAAGGGAGUAAAGUUAAUACCUUUGCUCAUUGACGUUACCCGCAGAAGAAGCACCGGCUAACUCCGUGCCAGCAGCCGCGGUAAUACGGAGGGUGCAAGCGUUAAUCGGAAUUACUGGGCGUAAAGCGCACGCAGGCGGUUUGUUAAGUCAGAUGUGAAAUCCCCGGGCUCAACCUGGGAACUGCAUCUGAUACUGGCAAGCUUGAGUCUCGUAGAGGGGGGUAGAAUUCCAGGUGUAGCGGUGAAAUGCGUAGAGAUCUGGGGAAUACCGGUGGCGAAGGCGGCCCCCUGGACGAAGACUGACGCUCAGGUGCGAAAGCGUGGGGAGCAAACAGG
rnacentral:rRNA from 1 species